CUGCGCGCAGCCUAAUGGUUUCAGGCGCUUGUUUUGGGAACAAGAUAAUGGGAGUUCAAAUCUUUCCGCGCAGACCA
rnacentral:tRNA from 1 species